ACAUGUUUUAAAAAGUCACGUUGUCCUACAAUAUCCAUUUCUCUUGCAUAUUUAGGAAAUUGAGAUUUUUUUCCUAAAACAUGCUGACAUAUGGGAAAUAGGAUGUAAAAUGUACACAAAUGUUUUAGACACAGUUUGAGGUUUCCAGGAGAUUUUGUACUGGGGAGGCUGCUUGCUACAAGCUCCCAAAGCUCUGGGAGGACAUAGUAUUCAUCCUCCCUCAGCAGAGGCUGUGAGGCAAGAAGCCCUGGGGAGCACUUGAGCCUUGGACUUCUAGCAUAGUGGGUUCAGGUCUUUAUGGUUUGGGCCCACGGCACAGAGAGGUCACGGGUCUCUGGCUUCCUGUGACCUUUGCCUGCCUUGCCAGCGGAAAAUGUGACCCUCCAAAGCAAGAAACUUGAGGGUGUGGGUCACCCCCACCCUGGCAUCUGCCCAGAACAUGAGAAGGAAGGAACAAUGGUCCUCCAGCUACCUCACAGGGUCGGCACAGGCGGCCACUGCCCUGUGUGGACCACCCAGUUGUGUUGGGCAACCUGAACCCCACCUGCGGGGAUGCGAGGAGGAAAAUACAAAAGUCUUUAUGUGAGCACUGAGAAGGUAGAUGCAGCAGAAACCUCCAGGCAGUAACUACCCAGUCUGGGACCUAUGGUGGAGAGAGAGCCUAGUGGGCGACUCUAGGGUCACCAGGUGGCACUGUGGCCUUAUUGGUGGCUCUGAAAAGGAAGAUUUGGAAGGAGAUAAUCACAGCUAAUGUUUAACAAGCACCUACUAUGUGCCAAAUCAUUCACCCCUGGCAACAACCUAAGGAGCUAGGGAUUCUUAUUAUAUAUCUUUUAUAGAGAAGGCAGUGAAGGCAUAAAGAGGUGAAUUAUCUUGCCCAGAUCACUCAGCUAAUAAGUGGUGGAGGUGGAAUAGAACCUAAACAGUGUGGCUGCGGAGCCCACAUGCAUUGAUUCCACAAGCGUUUAUUGAGCACCUGCCAUGUACAAGGCCUUGUGUGAUUAAAUACGGUUAUGAUUAAUAAUAUAACAAUGACAAAUCACAUGUUCUAGAUGUAAGAUUUUCUUUUUUUGUAGGUUUCAGGCACAGAACUGUAUAUCCAAUAAUAGUGAAAUUGAUCCCACUAGUUAUGACAGAAAUGAUGAUACAUUUAAAUGAGCUGGAUGAUUUAGAGGUAUUAUCUCAUGAAUCCUUGAGGGAAACUAAAUGAGGAAUGAAAUUUAUUGUUCCCAUUUCACACAGAAGGAAACUGAGGUUAAGAGGGGUAAAGUAAUUUUGCAUGGCAUGAAGUGGAAAUUCCAAUUACAGGAAUUUAAACUUGGAUCUAUCUUUUUCUGAGGCCCCCAUGCUUUUGACCACUAUAGGGUCAAGCAUCACCUUGAUUUUCCACUCAUUCAAGAAAUUUUUUUAGAAUCCUCUAGAGUGGAUCUCAGCGAAGAUGGCCGUGCAAUUUGUGUCCAGCAUUACCAGAAGAGUCUUCAUGUGGAAAGUCUCAGGGGCACCACACAGAGAAUUUUGGUCUCAAUCCAGAGAAGAGAUAGAGCCAGUGGUUGCUGAGACUGUAGAAGAGGUGAAAAAGGAAUCUAUCCUAGUGUGUCCACCCUUAUGAAGCCGAGCAUACACACCACCUGAAGAUCUCCAGAGUCGUUUGGAAUCUUAUGUUAAAAAAGUUUUUGGUUCAUCUCUUCCUUGUUAUUGGCAAGAAGUCUCCAUGGAAGACGGUUGUCUAAAGUUCAGUCUCUUGGUGCAUUUAGCUGAUGACUUGGGUCAUGUAGUCCCUAAUUCCAGACUCCACCAGAUGUGCAAGUUUAGAGAUGUUCUUGAAUCUAUAAUGUUCCUGUUCAAGAUAGAUCUAAAUUUGAUGAACUCAGUGCCAGUAAUCUGCCCCCAAAUUUGAAAAUCACUUGGAGUUACUAAGCAAUUUGGAAGAGAAACACACUGAAAUCAUUUUUUUUACCUGGUCAAGGGGGCUGCUUAUCAUACCUUUCAAUACUUUACUAUGUGAAAUACUACCAGAACUGUUCUCUAAACCCACUUUUUCUAUAGAUGAAUGUAUCAUCUCUUUUUUUUCUCAUAUUAUGAAUGGACAAAUAACAGGACUUUCUAGUUUCAUAUUUGCUGAAACUAUUUUUUAAAUGAAAUUAAGUCAUUAAUUUGAAAAAUUUUGAGAAGACACUGUCAUUAACUUGGAUUUAAGACAAGAGGACAUUUCAAGUUCACACCCUUCAUAGGCAUAAAGUCGUAGUUGCAAGAAAAUAUUUUCAUCCUGUUAGGACUCAUAUCUAAGGUAGAGUUAUUAUAUUGCACAUACACAAAUAAACUUGUAUUAGAUAGAUACCUAUAAAAGAAACAGAAGUAUGUUGCAUGUUACUGACCGUUCUAGAUUAAUUUCUUUUGGAAUUAAAGUAGAUUUGUUGAAAAA